AUUGAACGCUGGCGGCAUGCUUUACACAUGCAAGUCGAACGGCAGCGGGGAGGAGCUUGCUUCUCUGCCGGCGAGUGGCGAACGGGUGAGUAAUACAUCGGAACGUGUCGAGAUGAGGGGGAUAACCACCCGCAAGGGUGGCUACUACCGCAUAAAUUCUGAGGAAGAAAGCUGGGGACCUAGUAAUAGGCCUAGCGCUUUUUGAGCGGCCGAUGUCGGAUUAGCUAGGUGGUGAGGUAAAGGCUCACCAAGGCGAAGAUCUGUAGCGCGUCUGAGAGGAGGAUCCGCGACACUAGGACUUAGACACGGCCAAGGCUCCUAAGGGAGGCAGCAGUCGGGAAUGUUGGACAAUGGUGGCAACCCUGAUCCAGUCAGGGCGAGUGUAUGAAGAAGGCCUUAGGGUUGGAAAGUACUUUUGUGAGGGAAGAAAAGUCAGCUGUUAAUAAUGGCUGAUACUGACGGUAACUAAAGAAGAAGCACCGGCUAACUACGUG
rnacentral:rRNA from 1 species